rnacentral:rRNA from 1 species
CGGACCAUCAGCUAGUUGGUGGGGUAAGAGCCUACCAAGGCGACGACGGAUAGCCGGCGUGAGAGCGUGGCCGGCCACAAGGACACUGAGAUGCGGGUCCUACUCCUACGGGAGGCAGCAGUGCGGAAUUUUAGAUAAUGGAGGCAACUCUGAUCUAGCGACGCCGCGUGCACGAAGAAGGUCUUCGGAUUGUAAACUGCUGUGGUAAGGGAAAAAUGCCAUGUAGAGUGGAAAGCUACAUGGAGGGAUGGUACUUUA